GACGAACGCUGGCGGCGUGCUUAACACAUGCAAGUCGAACGGAAAGGCCCUGCUUUUGUGGGGUGCUCGAGUGGCGAACGGGUGAGUAACACGUGAGUAACCUGCCCUUGACUUUGGGAUAACUUCAGGAAACUGGGGCUAAUACCGGAUAGGAGCUCCUGCUGCAUGGUGGGGGUUGGAAGGUUUCGGCGGUUGGGGAUGGACUCGCGGCUUAUCAGGUUGUUGGUGGGGUAGUGGCUUACCAAGGCUUUGACGGGUAGCCGGCAUGAGAGGGUGACCGGACACAUUGGGACUGAGAUACGGCCCAGACUCCUACGGGAGGCAGCAGUGGGGAAUAUUGCACAAUGGGCGGAAGCCUGAUGCAGCAAAGCCGCGUGCGGGAUGACGGCCUUCGGGUUGUAAACCGCUUUCGCCUGUGACGAAGCGUGAGUGACGGUAAUGGGUAAAGAAGCACCGGCUAACUACGUG
rnacentral:rRNA from 1 species